UGCGUAGGCGGUUUGGUAAGUCUUGUGUGAAAUCUAUGGGCUCAACUCAUAGUCUGCACGAGAAACUGCCGGGCUUGAGUGUGGGAGAGGUGAGUGGAAUUUCCGGUGUAGCGGUGAAAUGCGUAGAUAUCGGAAGGAACACCUGUGGCGAAAGCGGCUCACUGGACCAUAACUGACGCUGAUGCACGAAAGCUAGGGGAGCAAACAGGAUUAGAUACCCUGGUAGUCCUAGCCCUAAACGAUGACUGCUUGGUGUGACGGGUACCCAAUCCCGCCGUGCCGUAGCUAACGCGUUAAGCAGUCCGCCUGGGGAGUACGGUCGCAAGGCUGAA
rnacentral:rRNA from 1 species